rnacentral:rRNA from 1 species
UUCAAGAGUACGUGAAACCGUUCAGGGGUAAACGGGAGAAAUCCUGAAUUCGAAGGGGAUCGGAUUCACGCUCUGCCCGGUACAUCAGGAACGCAUUGCCCCGCCAGAUGGCGCCGGUCGCCCGCGUCGCGACUUCUGUCGCCCGCGGUGUCGCACCCGGAGUACACUCGGCAGGGGCGGCGUAUUUCCGGCAUCGGAGGGCUGCACUUCCUCCCUUGUAGAAACGUCGCGACCCGUUGGGUGCCGGCCUCAAGGCCCGGGAAGGACAGCCCGCGCGUCCUGCCGGUGCGGGGUGUGAAAGCUCCGUGCUGCCGCAGGUGCGUGCGGACUCCCGGUGACCUGGCCGGCCGCCCGACGGCAGGACCAGAGGAGUCGAUCCGCCGUUCGCGAAGCACUUUGGCUUGUGCGGCGUCCGGCCCGGCGCCGACGUGUGCGGGGCGAGAAACGAUGGUUGUAAAAGACCGGGUGGGAGCACCCGUGCGAAGCACGGCCCCAGCCCCGCCGCGUCUUGGCCGGUCGUCCUCGGACAGGAU